AGAGUUUGAUCCUGGCUCAGAAUCAACGCUGGCGGCGUGCCUAACACAUGCAAGUCGAACGAGAAAGUGGAGCAAUCCAUGAGUAAAGUGGCGACCGGGUGAGUAACACGUGGCUAACCUACCCUUCGCAGGGGGAUACCCGCCAGAAAUGGCGGCUAAGACCGCAUACGCUUCGCGGGAGGUGCGACCUCCGGUGAAGGAAAGCCAGGUAAACACUGGCGGCGAGGGAGGGGGCCGCGGCCGAUUAGCUAGUUGGCGGGGUAACGGCCCACCAAGGCGACGAUCGGUAGCUGGUCUGAGAGGAUGAUCAGCCACACUGGGAUUGAGAACGGCCCAGACUCCUACGGGGGGCAGCAGUGAGGAAUCUUCGGCAAUGGGGGCAACCCUGACCGAGCAACGCCGCGUGCGGGAUGACGGCCUUCGGGUUGUAAACCGCUUUUCCCCGGAACGAGUAUGCGGACGGUACCGGGGGAAGAAGCCUCGGCUAACUACGUGCCAGCAGCCGCGGUAAUAC
rnacentral:rRNA from 1 species